GUCUUCUUGCUAAUCAUAGGAAGUCUGACCUGCCCAGUGAAUAAUUUUUAACGGCCGCGGUAUUUUGACCGUGCAAAGGUAGCAUAAUCAUUAGUCUUUUAAUAGAAGGCUGGUAUGAAUGGUUUGACGAGGUGCUAACUGUCUCAUUUAAUUUUUUAUUAGAAUUUAACUUUUUAGUCAAAAGGCUAAAAUUUAUUUGGAAGACGAGAAGACCCUAUAGAGCUUUAUAAUACCUUGGUUAAUCAUAUUUAGGUUGAUUUUUUUGAUUAUUCAAUUUAUUAUUUUGUUGGGGUGACAAAAAUAUAUAUUUAACUUUUUUAUUUAUUUUACAUUAAUUUAUGAUUUAUAAGAUCCAUUCUUAGUGAUUAUUAGACUAAGUUACCUUAGGGAUAACAGCGUAAUCUUCUUUCAAAGUUCAAAUUUACAAGAAGGCUUGCGACCUCGAUGUUGGAUUAAGAUUAUAGUUAGGUGUAGCCGCUUAAUUUAUAGGUCUGUUCGACCUUUAAUUUCUU
rnacentral:rRNA from 1 species